rnacentral:rRNA from 1 species
CCUACGGGAGGCAGCAGUGGGGAAUAUUGCACAAUGGGGGAAACCCUGAUGCAGCGACGCCGCGUGAAGGAAGGAGUAUUUCGGUAUGUAAACUUCUAUCAGCAGGGAAGAAAAUGACGGUACCUGACUAAGAAGCCCCGGCUAACUACGUGCCAGCAGCCGCGGUAAUACGUAGGGGGCAAGCGUUAUCCGGAUUUACUGGGUGUAAAGGGAGCGUAGGCGGCGAUGCAAGUCAGAAGUGAAAGCCCGGGGCUCAACUCCGGGACUGCUUUUGAAACUGUAUGGCUGGAGUGCAGGAGAGGCAGGUGGAAUUCCUAGUGUAGCGGUGAAAUGCGUAGAUAUUAGGAGGAACACCAGUGGCGAAGGCGGCUUGCUGGACUGUAAAUGACGCUGAGGCUCGAAAGCGUGGGGAGCAAACAGGAUUAGAUACCCUUGUAGUC